GACGAACGCUGGCGGCGUGCUUAACACAUGCAAGUCGAACGGAAAGGCCCUGCUUUUGUGGGGUGCUCGAGUGGCGAACGGGUGAGUAACACGUGAGUAACCUGCCCUUGACUUUGGGAUAACUUCAGGAAACUGGGGCUAAUACCGGAUAGGAGCUCCUGCUGCAUGGUGGGGGUUGGAAAGUUUCGGCGGUUGGGGCUGGACUCGCGGCUUAUCAGCUUGUUGGUGGGGUAGUGGCUUACCAAGGCUUUGACGGGUAGCCGGCCUGAGAGGGUGACCGGCAACAUUGGGACUGAGAUGCGGCCCAGACUCCUUCGGGAGGCAGCAGUGGGGGAUAUUGCACAAUGGGCGGAAGCCUGAUGCAGCAACGCCGCGUGCGGGAUGACGGCCUUCGGGUUGUAAACCGCGUUCGCCUGUGCAGAAGCGUGAGUGACGGUAAUGGGUAAAGAAGCACCGGCUAACUACGUG
rnacentral:rRNA from 1 species